UACAGAGGGGGCAAGCGUUGUUCGGAAUUACUGGGCGUAAAGGGCGCGUGGGCGGCCUGUUAAGUCGGACGUGAAAUCCCUCGGCUCAACCGGGGAACUGCGUCCGAUACUGGCGGGCUUGAAUUCGGGAGAGGGAUGUGGAAUUCCAGGUGUAGCGGUGAAAUGCGUAGAUAUCAGGAGGAACACCGGUGGCGAAGGCGGUUCUCUGGGCAUUACCUGACGCUGAGGAGCGAAAGUGUGGGGAGCGAACAGG
rnacentral:rRNA from 1 species